rnacentral:piRNA from 1 species
UCCAGGUGAAACAGAUCAAUGAGAAUGCAG